rnacentral:rRNA from 1 species
CCAAAGAGGAGAAUAACUUGACGAAAGUGAAGCUAAUACUCCAUGUGGUCAAUCAUUCGGUUGAUUGAUUAAAGCUAAGGCGCUUUGGGAGGGGCUUGCGGCCCAUCAGCUAGUUGGUAGGGUAAAGGCCUACCAAGGCGAAGACGGGUAGCUGGUCUGAGAGGACGAUCAGCCACAAUGGCACUGAAACACGGGCCAUACUCCUACGGGAGGCAGCAGUGAGGAAUAUUGCACAAUCGACGCAAGUCGGAUGCAGCAACGCCGCGUGGACGAUGAAGGCCUUCGGGUUGUAAAGUCCUUUUAAGAGGGACGAGGAAGGACGGUACCUCUUGAAUAAGUCUCGGCUAACUACGUGCCAGCAGCCGCGGUAACACGUAGGAGGCGAGCGUUAUCCGGAUUUAUUGGGCGUAAAGCGCAUGCAGGUGGCUAGGUAAGUCGGGUGUGAAAGCCCCGGACUUAAUCCGGGGAGGUCAUUCGAUACUGCUUGGCUUGAGCACGGGAGAGGGGAAGUGGAAUUCUCGGUCUAGUGGUGAUAGGCGUAGAUAUCGAGAGGAACACCAGUGGCGAAGGCGGCUUCCUGGCCCGUAUCUGACACUAAGAUGCGAAAGCGUGGGUAGCAAACGGACUUAGAUACUCCGGUAGUCCACGCUGUAAACGGAUUGGUACUAGGGUGUAGGGGGGUGUACAACUUCUCUUGUGCCAUUAGUUAACGCACUAAGUAACCCCGCCUGGGGACAACGGUCGACAAGGCUAAAACUACAAAGGAAUCGACGGGGGCCAGCACAAGCAGCGGAGCGUGUGAGUUCGAUUCGAAGAUACACGAAGAACCUUACCGGGGCUUGACAUGUUGGUAGUAGUGAAGCGAAAGCGGAACGAUCCUUCGGGAAGCCAUCACAGAUGCUGCAUGACAGUCGUCAGCUCG